UUAGGUCAAGGAUUGUUUACAUUAUUGAAUUUACAGGUAAACUCGGCCCUACACCAACUCGGGACAAGUGACGUAGUCAACUCGGCCCUCUAUUAAAACCAUAUAUUAGGAUUAGGAUAUAGAUUGUUUAGUUAAUAACAUAUUGUUUGAAAUUAUAUUUAAGAUAAAUAAUUAUCUGAAGAAGAGAUAUCAAGAGACAAGACAAUAUAUGUUAAAUAUUGAUCAAUAAAUAGAGUUUUUAGAUUGAAUUUUUGUGACAAUGAAUUUUAUUGUAUUUAAUACUGUUUGUUCUUUAAUAUGACAAAUGCUUUUUUAAUGAUAUUUUUUACAAAAAAUCUGGAGUAGCAAAAUAUGCGUUUAAAUUGUAAAUUCUUUCUUUCUCUACAAAUUCACAUACAAAUUGGUACUUUUCAUCAAUAAAACUUUUCAAUAUCCUUGAGUAGAUGUCUGUUACAGUAGUGUGAAAAUGUUAAACCAUGAAAGUUAUGAUGAAAACAUAUCAAAAGUAAGAAAAGUAAUCAUUACCAGUAAUAUAUAAUUAUGGGCCUAGUUGACCCGUGCUGAGUUGGAAUAGGGCCAAGCUGACUCGAGGGCCAAGUACGUUUUAGGGCCGAGCUGACCCUGAUUCGAAUUUACAGUGUUGACUGUUGUGUAGGAUUUGCUUUUUCAUAUCUAUUGUAUAUAGACUAUCUAUUAACAUAGAAAUAAGUUUAUAAUAUAUUUAACUGUUGUGUACAAUUGAUAUUCGAUCACUGUAUCAAAAUUUAUCUCGGCCCUCCUGAUUUUUAUUUGGCGAGGUCCGAGGACCGACAGCCUUUCGCACAGACUGCAAUUUGCAGUUGGUAUAGUAAUUUUUAGUGUUUGAUGAUCAGAAGAUUUUUUCCUUCUGAAAAUCAUGGACUUCAUCUUGAAUAAUUCAAAUCUGUGUGAAAGCGCAAAGAGAAAGAGACUGAAAAUUAAUUUAUUAUUUCUAUGGACAAUAUAGAUGUUAUAAAUUUGUAAUCAAACAUAUGGGUCAAUUUUCAGCAGUAGUUGAAUCAUGACAAAGUAUUUUUAAUAAUUUUAUUUAACUUCUGGCUACUUGAAAAUUUCAUGCUGGAUGUUUGCUUACCAUUACUUUUUGCAUAAGAGCUCUAUGAUUGACAUUAAAGUCCACGGGCCAAUUCAUUUCUGAUAUAUCUAUAAUCUUUCCGAUAUCUUGUUAUAAUAUAAAUGACUGAACAUCAUUUUAGAAUUAUUAGGAAGAAAUACAUAAAUGUAUGUUCAUUCUUUGUAAAAAUGUUAGAAGACUUGCAAGUUACCGACUUAAUCAUUGCAUUUAUUUAUUAUUGAAAAAAUGCUGAACAGCUAGUCUCAACAGUGUUAUAGGCUAGAAUUUUCAGUUUGCAUUAGGGCCAAAAAUGAAAAUAUAUUGUUAGUCAUGACGGCUUUCCUAUUGCUGUCAAAAAACUUUAACCUUGUUCAUAACUUUUUCAGAUCUUGGUGUAUUGUCUUCAUACAUGGCCACAACAACCCUUCAAAUAGACCAGACUAAACUUAAUUAACUUGACCACCAUAUUAACAUUCAAGAAGUUCGGCCUACAUGUCAGAUUUAUGAAUGUGAACAGCAGGAUAUCGAUUUUAAGGAUGCUUUAGGGUCAAUGACAAUGAAAUCAUGAGAGAUAAAGGCUAAAAUGUGAGACUGUCAAUCUGACCAACCUUGAAGUGAAUAAAUGGAAAAAUGUUUCUUUCAAUAGCAUGGGCAUUUAAGGAAGAGGAAACAGAGGCGCUUAUAUGAUAGAACAGAUAAAGCAGGAGUGAUAAGGAAAGAUGUAGAUGUGUCUUCAUGUCGGAAACACUUAAGAAAUAGAAAAAUUGUGGUUUUAUAAAACUUAAAAGAAAUUGGAAUACCAGGAGACUGCCUGCCCUUUGCAAUGUUGGAUAAUGAGUUCUUAGAUGUGAUGUCGAAAGUCUCAUGAAUAUAGUACCAUGACUUAAUCUAAUUAGAAAAAGAAAUGACAUUGAGGAGAAAACUAGUCACCAGUCUUUCACCAAUAACUAGAGAUAACUUUCCAAUAUUUGAAAUAUCAUAAUGUGUAUAGAACUUUAAUGAGCCACCAGUUUUUCACCAGGAAAAUAAGAUCACUUAACUAUUUUUAGCUCACCUGUCACAAAGUUACAGGGUGAGCUUUUUUGAUCGCUUUUCGUCCGGCGUCCGGCCCUAAACUUUUACUUUAAAUGAAAUCUCCUCAUAAACCACUAAGCCAAUUUCAUCCAAACUUUACAGGAAUGUUCCUUUGGUGGUCACCUUUAAAUACUGUUCAUAGAAUUUAAUUUCAUGCAGAAAGCUGGUUGCCAUGGCAACCAAAAGAAAAUGACAUAAAGUAUCUUCUUUUAAAGAACUCAAAGAGCUAGAGCUUAGACAAAGUAUCUUCUUUUAAAGAACCCAAAGAGCUAGAGCUUAGACAUUUGGCAUGAUACAUCUUCUAGUGAGUGUCUACCAAGUUUGUGCAAAUAAAAGUCCUGGGGUCAAAAUUGGCCUGGCCCCAAGGGGUCAUUGAUUUUCCCUAUAUGCAUAUAGUAAAAACUUAAAAAUCUUCUUUUAAAGAACCAAAAUAGCUAGAGUUUAGAUAUUAAGCAUGAAACAUCUUCUGGUAAGUGUCUACAAAGUUUGUUCAAAUAAAAGCCCCGAGGUCAAAAUUGGCCCCCGCCCCGGGGGUCAUUGAUUUUUCUUAUAUGUGUAUAGCAAAAACUUAAAAACCUUCUUUGAAAAAAACCCAAAUAGCUUGAGUUUAGAUAUUAUACAUGAAACAUCUUCUGGUAAGUGUGUACAAAGUUUGUUCAAAUAAAAGCCCUGGGGUCAAAACUGGCCCCGCCCCAGGGGUUUCAUUGUUUUUAACUAUAUGUGUAUAGUAAAAACUUAAAAAAUCUUCUUUUAAAAAACCCAAUGAGCUAGAGCCUAGAUGUUUAGCAUGAAACAUCUUCUUAUGGUGUCUACCAAGUUUGGUCAAAUUUAAGCCCUUGGAUAAAAAUUGGCCAUGCCGGGGGUGGGUGGUGGUGCAGAGGUCUAUGUUUUACAUAAAAUUUGUGUAGUAAAAACUUAACAUCAUGAAACAUCUUCUAAUGGGUGUCAUACAAGUUUGUUCAAAUAAAAGCCCUGGGUUUUAAACUGGCCCCGCUCCAGGGGCCAAUAUACACAUGGCCCUUUUGUUGAAAUAUGUAUGAACAAAUCUUUAUCAACUUCAAGGUUUUAUUGAAGAAAUUUGAAUUACUUGGCACAAAUGAUUGUUAUAAUAAGACGAUGAGUCAUGUGCAACAACCAGACCCCUACCUCCAGGGUCAAGGUCGCACUUGCUCAUUCAAGGUCAACAUUGUCUAUUUGAGAGUAUAUCUCGUGUCUGGUCUAUAACUUUCCUAUCUCUAAAGGGAUUUUGUAAAUACUUGCCACAAUUGCUCACAAUAAUGAGAAGAUGUGUCAUGCGCAACAACAGGUCACCUGCCUCCAAGGUCAAGGUCACACUUGGAGGCGAAAUAUUAACAUAACCUGUUACAGGGUAUAUUUCGUGUCUGGUCCAUAACUUUGUCAUUUAUUGAAGGAAUUUGAAAUAACUUGGCACAAAUGUUUGUUAUAAUAAGAUGAUGAUGCGCAAUAACCAGACCCCUACCUCCAGGGUCAAGGUCACACUUGCUCAUUCAAGGUCAACAUUGUCUAUUUGAGGGUAUAUCUCGUGUCCAGUCUAUACCUUUCUUAUCUUGAAGGGAUUUUGUAAAUACUUGCCACAGUUGUUCACAACAAUGAGAUGAUGUGUCAUGCGCACCAAUCGGUCACCAACCUACAAGGUCAAGGUCACACUUGGAGGUCUAAGAAUAACAUAGCCUGUUAUAGGGUAUUUUUUUGUCCGGUCCAUAACUUUUUCCUAUAUCAAAGGAUUUUGAAAACACUUGGCACAAAUAUUCACUAUAAUAAGACAAUGUGUCAUGCGCAACACCUGCAUCCCUACCUCCAAGGUCAGGGUCACAUUUCGAGGUAAAAAAUUAACAUAGUCUUUUAAAGGGUAUAUAUUGUGUCCAAUGUAGAACUUCUUCAUAGUUCAAGGAAUUUUGAAAUAACAUGGCACAAAUAGUCACAAUAAUAAAGACUAUAUGUCAAGUACAACACCUGCACCCCUGCCUCCAAGGUCAAGGUCACACUUAGAGGUAUAAAGGUAACAAAGUCUGUUAUAUGGUAUAUUUUAUGCACCGUCCAUAACUUCUUCAUAGAUGAAGGGAUUUUGAAAAUACUUGGCACAAAUAGUUACAAUGAUAAGAUGAUAUGUCAUGCACAACACCUGCACCCCUACCUCCAAGGUCAAGGUCACACUUAGAGGUCAAAGCAGGGAUUUUUUCCAGGAUUUUGGGAACAUAACCCAUACCCAUGGAACUGGGAAUUUCAGCAAUAUUUUGUUAAAAAUUGGGAAAAAAUACAUGACUGAAAUUUUGCAGUGAUUAAAUGUAUGCAAGCAAUCACUGCCUAGGAUGGCUUCUUCAAACAUUUUAACACUAUAACAGUGAAGAAGCCCUUAUUUUCAAAGAUUUUAGAAUUCUUUAUUCAAUAUCUAUAUUUUUGUAACUUUCAAUUGGGAAUAUUUUCCUGUGGAUUGGGAAAAUAAUAUACUAUUUUCAAUUGGGAAUAUGUCCCAAUAAAGGCUAUAAAAUGAGCCAAAAAAUCCCUGCAAAGCUUAACAUGAUAGAUUUUAAAAUUCAGUUUUUCAUUUUAUUUCUUUAAUAAAUAUAUUGUUGCAUUUGCAGAUCUAGCAUUGAUCAUAAUUUUGGACUGAAAAUCCUUAGAUCCCUGGCUCAAUCUUUUGAAAUAGCACGAUUUUUUGUUUCAUAUAAAACAUCCCUGAGGCAGGGGACGUUAGUAACUCUGUGGAUCAAAAGUCAAAUAAUAAAUUAAAACAUGAGAGUAUAUUUCUAUAUACAUGGCUGGAUUUUCAUAACAUUUAUCACAAAUCAUGAAAUGUUCACUUAUGUAUACAUCUUUCUCCCCAAUCUGAAGCUUUAAGGUUCAGUUCUGAAUAAAGGCAACAGGCUCGAUAUGCUGCCAGUGGGCUUGUCUAAUUAUGUACAUAUUUUGAUUACCCACUCAUGAUAAGCAUUGUUCUUAACGCAGGCAUUCAAGUCCUGUGGGCACAUUUCUACUUUUGACUAUAUUCUGUUGUAUAAUAUCAGUCUUGUAUGUAAAAAAUCCUUAAAACAGCACCUCCUAUACCACUGGCCGUUUGCGUUAAAGCUUCUUUCAUUCAGAUUGUUAUAACUUGUGUCACCUCAAUAUGUACCAAUAAUUUAAAGGGACUCACUCCAUUGAGGUUUAAAAGCCUAAAACAUAACAUUAGAAUUUCUACAGAAAUGAGCCGGGGCACUUGAUACAGAAAUAUAUGCACAGAUAGUGAAGAAAUAUACUUUGAAAUAAAUUGAAAAUCGAUUUUUUAUGCUUUUCUCAGCCUGAUCUGCGUGAAAUGUGUUUAAACGCUUUUAUUUUGGGUCAUUUUUUUUACAAUUUGAAUAAUUAUUCUUGAAAAACGAAGUGCGCAAAUGAUCUGAAAUUUUUCUCAAAGAUAAGUGGUCAAAAUAUACAUCAAGUGGUACAUUAAUCUAGAAAAUAAAUUUCAGUCUCAUCAUGUCAAAAAACCUCAGUGGAGUUCCUUUUACACAGUUUAUCUGACAAACUAAAUUUCAUUAUCUCCAUAUAUUUAAGCAUUUAUUUUUUAUAUCACAUAU